UAGAAUCUUUGUUCAGUCCUCAGGUCCCAAA
rnacentral:piRNA from 1 species